rnacentral:rRNA from 1 species
UACGGAGGGAGCUAGCGUUGUUCGGAAUUACUGGGCGUAAAGCGUACGUAGGCGGUUAUUCAAGUCAGAGGUGAAAGCCCGGGGCUCAACCCCGGGAACUGCCUUUGAAACUAGAUAAGCUAGAAUCUUGGAGAGGUCAGUGGAAUUCCGAGUGUAGAGGUGAAAUUCGUAGAUAUUCGGAAGAACACCAGUGGCGAAGGCGACUGACUGGACAAGUAUUGACGCUGAGGUACGAAAGCGUGGGGAGCAAACAGG